rnacentral:snRNA from 1 species
GUGCUUGCUUCGGCAGCACUUAUACUAAAAUUGGAAUGAUACAGAGAAGAUUAGCAUGGCCCCUGUGCAAGGAUGACAUGCAAAUUCAUGAAGCGUUCCAUAUUUUU